rnacentral:rRNA from 1 species
UACGUAGGGUGCAAGCGUUGUCCGGAAUUAUUGGGCGUAAAGAGCUCGUAGGCGGUCUGUCACGUCGGCUGUGAAAACCCGAGGCUCAACCUCGGGCCUGCAGUCGAUACGGGCAGACUAGAGUUCGGUAGGGGAGACUGGAAUUCCUGGUGUAGCGGUGAAAUGCGCAGAUAUCAGGAGGAACACCGGUGACGAAGGCGGGUCUCUGGGCCGAAACUGACGCUGAGGAGCGAAAGCGUGGGGAGCGAACAGG